rnacentral:rRNA from 1 species
GAUGAACGCUGGCGGCGUGCUUAACACAUGCAAGUCGAACGGAAAGGCUCCUGCUUGCAGGGGUACUCGAGUGGCGAACGGGUGAGUAACACGUGGGUGACCUGCCCUGCACUUCGGGAUAAGCCUGGGAAACUGGGGCUAAUACCGGAUAGGACGAUGGGUUGGAUGCCAGGGGGGAAAGUUUUUUCGGUGUGGGAUGGGCUCGCGGCCUAUCAGCUUGUUGGUGGGGUAAUGGCCUACCAAGGCGUCGACGGGUAGCCGGCCUGAGAGGGUGUACGGCCACAUUGGGACUGAGAUACGGCCCAGACUCCUACGGGAGGCAGCAGUGGGGAAUAUUGCACAAUGGGCGCAAGCCUGAUGCAGCGACGCCGCGUGCGGGAUGACGGCCUUCGGGUUGUAAACUCCUUUCGCUAGGGACGAAGCGCAAGUGACGGUACCUGGAGAAGAAGCACCGGCUAACUACGUG